GCGGGAAACUAAUUAGCAGCGAGAGGAGGAAAGUCCUUUUGAAGUUUAGCCGCUCGUGUUUAUAAUCUGGAGACAAAUCUCUUGAGCAGCGGUCUAAACAGUAAUUAGCACGUGGCUACAGCGGAGGCGGUCCUGUAAGUAUGAAGAAGACCAAGACUUUAAUGUCUGACCUGAAGUCCAAAUAUGCUGAUAAAUCUUGGAAUGAGACCGUUCAGCUGGUCCGGAGAUGUAUGG